rnacentral:rRNA from 1 species
UACGAGGGGGGCAAAUGUUGUUCGGAAUCACUGGGCGUAAAGGGGGCGUAGGCGGGUUUUUAAGUCAGGUGUUUAAUCCCGGGGCCCAACCCCGGACAGGCACUUGAAACUGGGAAUCUUGAAUAGUGGAGAGGUCGGUGGAAUUGGGGGUGUAGCGGUGGAAUGCGUAGAGAUCCCCAAGAACACCCGUUGCGAAGGCGGCCGACUGGACACAUAUUGACGCUGAGGCUCGAAAGCAUGGGGAGCAAACAGG